UUCCUUAUUCCCUUAUUCCGCAGACCCCCCCCUCCAGGGCAGAGGACAGCGGUGAGGGUGCCAGCGCUCCCCUCUCCGUCACCGACCGGCUCGUCCGCCGCCAGCGUGGGCUCCACUGCGGCCUGCGCCGGAAUGUCUCCAUGGCGAUGGCUGCGGCGAGCGGGAAAAGCCUGGAACAGCGGAGGCCCAUUCCCGCAUUCCGAUGGAACGCUGCGGGAAGUGGCUCCCAAAACGAGCACGCUCAGAAGCAGUUCAGUUCUUAUCAUUCCUAGACCGUGUACGUGUGCGCUGUGACGGGCGAUGUGUUAAAGCUGAAAGCCAGCGUGUGUUUCUCAAGAGCCGAAACCCCGGUGGAUUUUUGAAGCUGGAAGUCCGGUUCGCGGAGGCCGCUCGGCUCAGCUUCCGCCCGCGCCUUGGCAACGGAGCUGCGAGACACUGUCACCAAGACGCUGUACAGAAUAACAGGAAAUGGGGAAUAAACCUAGCCUGCACCCCCCCUCCCCCCAACCCUAACAACAGCAAGG